UACGUAGGGCGCAAGCGUUAUCCGGAAUUAUUGGGCGUAAAGAGCUCGUAGGCGGUUUGUCGCGUCUGCCGUGAAAGUCCGGGGCUCAACUCCGGAUCUGCGGUGGGUACGGGCAGACUAGAGUGAUGUAGGGGAGACUGGAAUUCCUGGUGUAGCGGUGAAAUGCGCAGAUAUCAGGAGGAACACCGAUGGCGAAGGCAGGUCUCUGGGCCGUAACUGACGCUGAGGAGCGAAAGCGUGGGGAGCGAACCGG
rnacentral:rRNA from 1 species